rnacentral:rRNA from 1 species
CAGUCGCCGCGGUAAUACAGAGGGUGCGAGCGUUAAUCGGAUUUACUGGGCGUAAAGCGUGCGUAGGCGGCUAAUUGAGUCGGAUGUGAAAUCCCCGAGCUUAACUUGGGAAUUGCAUUCGAUACUGGUUAGCUAGAGUGUGGGAGAGGAUGGUAGAAUUCCAGGUGUAGCGGUGAAAUGCGUAGAGAUCUGGAGGAAUACCGAUGGCGAAGGCAGCCAUCUGGCCUAACACUGACGCUGAGGUACGAAAGCAUGGGGAGCAAACAGGAUUAGAUACCCGCGUAGUCCAUGUCUCUUAUAC